rnacentral:lncRNA from 1 species
GAUAUGUGACAUAUAUUCCAUAUUUUUAGACAUGAGGACUUGGUACUUGAGACAGAUCUUUCGCUUGCUUGCCAUUGUGCUCAUUCGCACAUGCUUGUGAGGGUCGCUCCCUACAAGCCGGCACUCCGGAGAUAGCCAUCGCGACAUAUGCUCGCUCGUGCGGGAUUGGGCACAAAAAUGGAAUGCCGUGGGGAAGGCUCAUUCCUAGAGUGGGGAUGUUGACUACCACGGGGCCAUUAGGCACGGCGCAGGCCAGACAGCCUACGGGUGGGUCUUACAUGAUUAGAACUUAGUGACAGAACAUGCCAUUUGGACUUUGACUAGAAUAGUAAACAAUGACAUUUUACUAUCUACAUUGUGGACACUCUGCUGAUUGCGUAUACAUGCUUAUACAUGCUAGUCAUACUCAUGUACAUACUUGUUGUAGUUGUUUUAUUAUUUAUGCAAUUCAUGCUAAGUAGAGAUAUCAUGAUAGAGUAGUACUCAUGGUUACAUACUUGUUCUUUAUUUAGCUUUUGUGUAUACUCGUACUUACCCUCUUUUGUUCAGUUUUGGGCCUAGUGGCGCAUUUCACUGAAGUCAAUAAUUGCCCACUGGAAACUAUUUUUAAUAAUUCUCACGC